AGGUCUCCCCCCGCGCCGCAUGGACUCCGUGCUUGAGCUCAUGGAAACCCUCGACUCCAACAGCCCCAACCUCACCCUCCCGGAGCUGGCGCGGGCGCUGGGUGCCUGCAGCACCCAUGGGUGCCGCGCGGUGCUGGGGGAGCCCCCCCCGGUCCCACCGGCGCUCAGCCAACACCAAUGGGUGCUCCUCACCCACCUCCUGCACCGCGACGCCGUGGUGCUGGCACCUGAUGGCUCCACCGUGGCCCUUGGUCCCCUCCUCGCCGGCAUUGAGGUGGGCCAAAAGCGGGUGUCGGGGUGGCCCUUCCCCACCUUUGAGCCCCCCAUUGACCCCCUUUACGCCGUGACCAUCACCGAGGCCUUGGGGCUGUCGUUCCUCUUGGCUCGCGGUGGCGAUGGAGCCACACUGGGACCCGGGGGCUGUUGGGACGAUGUGGAUGACCCCCAAAACUACACCCUCUCGGGACCGCCGUCACCCAUCCCUGACGCCGUCGCCAAUGGGGCUAUGGAUGGGGUGCUCUUGGGUGCCCAAGUGUCCCAAGCACCCAUCCCGUUGGCUGAGCUGCUCCGGGGUUACUAUGGGAUGGGCAACACCACGGAGCAAAGGAGACCCCGCAGCAGCUACCGGCGGCGAGACUUUGGGGUGCUGAUGGGGCCGGAGAAGCUGGAGCAGGAGGUGGAGGCGAUGCUGAGGGUGCUGAGGGUGCUGCCACCCACAAGGGAGCUCCUGAAGGGUGUGGGACCGGAGGAGGCGGCGGCCAUCGCGGGCCGGGCGGCGCGGGACUUCACCCAGCUCUACGUGGAGUGCCCGCCCAUCGUGCCCCGCUGCAUGUGGGGAGCCCGUCCCUACCGGGGCACCCCCAGAGCCUUGACCUUGCCCUUGGAGUCGGUCUUCAUCCACCACACGUUCAUCCCCAGCGCCCCGUGCCACAGCUUCCGCUCCUGCGCCCGCGCCAUGCGCUCCAUGCAGCGCUUCCACCAGGACACGCGCGGCUGGGACGACAUCGGGUACAGCUUCGUGGUGGGCUCCGAUGGGUACCUGUACCAAGGCCGAGGGUGGCAUUGGGUCGGUGCCCACACCAAAGGCUACAACAGCAAAGGAUACGGCGUGGGGUACGUUGGAGACUUCACCAGCACCUUACCUGACCCGGACACCAUCGCCCUGGUGAGGGACCAGCUCCUGCCCUGCGCUGUGAGGACGGGGAGGCUCCACCAUAACUACACCCUCCGGGGGCACCGGCAGAUGGGGCGCACCGACUGUCCCGGUAACUCCUUGUUCCGAGAGAUUGAGACCUGGAGCGGCUUCAAGUGAGGAUCAGCACCGUGGGGCCUGGGCUGGAGGGUGCGGGUAAGGUUGGAGCAUGGUCUACAGGGGUGUUGGCCCAAUGGGUGAUGGUCUGGAUGGAGCCCGGUCCAACAGAUGUUGGUCUGAUGGGGGCCAGAUUGGAUGGAUGGUGGUCUGGAUGGACAUCGGUGCAUGGAUGCUGGUCUGGAUGGACACCGGUUCCAUGGAUACCAGUCUGGAUGGACCCUGGUCCAGGUGGAGACCAGUGCCAUGGUUGGACCUCUGUCUGGAUGGACACCGGUUCCAUGGAUACCAGUCUGGAUGGACCCUGGUCCAGGUGGACACCAGUGCCAUGGUUGGACCUUGGUCUGGAUGGACAUUGGUGAUGCAGAUGAUGGUCUGGAUGGACCUUGGCCCAGGUGGACACCAGUGCCAUGGCUGGACCUUGGUCUGGAUGGACACCGGUUCCAUGGAUGCAGGUCUGGAUGGACCUUGGUCCAGGUGGACACCAGUGCCAUGGUUGGACCUUGGUCUGGAUGGACACCAGUGCCAUGGAUACCAGUCUGGAUGGACCUUGGUCCAGGUGGACACCAGUGCCAUGGUUGGACCUUUGUCUGGAUGGACACCAGUGCCGUGGAUACCAAUCUGGAUGGACCCUGGUUGAGGUGGACACCAGUGCCAUGGUUGGACCCUGCUCCAGACAGACCCAAUGGAUGCCAUCAGCGCUCAGCCCUGGUCUAGGUGGACACCAGUGCCGUGGUUGGACCUUGGUCUGGAUGGACAUCGGUGCCAUGGAUGCAGGUCUGGAUGGACCCUGGUCCAGGUGGACACCAGUGCCGUGGUUGGACCUUGGUCUGGGUGGACACCAGUGCCAUGGUUGGACCUUGGUCUGGAUGGACACCGGUUCCAUGGAUACUGGUCUGGAUGGACCCUGGUCCAGAUGGACCCCAGCCUGAUGGAUGCCAGCACAGAUGGACCCUGGCCCAGAAGAACCCCACCAAUGAAUCCCACCAUUGCAGAUGGAUCCUGUUCUGGUCCCACCAUUCAGUAUAGAUCC